UGGCUCAGGACGAACGCUGGCGGCAUGCCUAACACAUGCAAGUCGAACGGAGUUUAAGAAGCUUGCUUUUAAACUAGUGGCGGACGGGUGAGUAACGCGUGAGCAACCUGCCUCUCAGUGGGGAAUAAUGUACUGAAAAGGACACUAAUACCGCAUAAUGUACCGGAGUCGCAUGGCACUGGUACCAAAGAUUUAUCGCUGAGAGAUGGGCUCGCGUCCGAUUAGCUGGUUGGUGAGGUAACGGCUCACCAAGGCGACGAUCGGUAGCCGGACUGAGAGGUUGAACGGCCACAUUGGGACUGAGACACGGCCCAGACUCCUACGGGAGGCAGCAGUGGGGGAUAUUGCGCAAUGGGGGAAACCCUGACGCAAGCAAUGCCGCGUGAAGGAUUGAAGGUCUUCGGAUUGUAAACUUCUUUUGUCAGGGACGAUAAUGACGGUACCUGACGAAUAAGCUCCGGCUAACUACGUGCCAGCAGCCGC
rnacentral:rRNA from 1 species